CUGUGCGGUGACAAGCAAAAUUAACUCCACUGUAUACUGUGAAAAAUUUAUCAUCUACACACAAAAAUAAAUAUUGACUACGACAUGUAAAGAAAAUCGGUGAUGACUAGAGAGACGUGAAACGUAUUGCAGCACCGCGAAGUGGAGCUAAAAGCUAGGACCUAGAGACGAGAUUAAGAAAUUUUGAACACGCGUCGCGAGAAUACUUCUGAGAUUUUUGGUGAGGUCUUUAUGUCUCGGUACGUUUGCCAGUUGGCGGCGAAGAACGGGUUGUGCUCGGCGAGAGUUGGCGCGCACGAUACUUUAACGAAAUCUUGUAUCUUUUCUUGCAAAUCUUCUAACUAGAAACGCAGAAUUCAUAGUACUACAAGAGUUACUAUCUCGAGUAAAGCGGCAUUCGGUUUUUUUAAAAAAAGUCACUACUAGUAAGUAGUACAAUCAACCGGCCAUUGAGUCCAGAACGGACAUCGUGUACCUCAAGCGCGGAGUUAAAAGGUGAACUUCGGUUAGUUCAUCGUCUCCUUCCUCGAAACCUUUAAUUAUCGCGGAUCUCGCGACGAGUCACUUAAGGAGUGUUUGUGUAGCAAAAUUUCUUCAUUUCCGCGGCACUUUUCACAUGCCUUAAACUGCUUCCGCCAAUUCAAUUUCAUUCAAAUUGGAACGUCCUUUUUCGAAUUCCUCUAACAUUCACUCCGUUCUACGCUGCCAUCUACCUGCAGGGAUAACAAGAACCGAAAGUCCUGAAUCGAAAGCUGCGUAGAAUUGGCUCGAUUUCCACCCCUUUGCAACGACCACGCAUCGCACUUUCCGCAAGCUUUCGGAAAACUCACCACUUUAGCAAUCGGGUCCACACAGUUUUGAAGUUCGAAAACAGCCCCAACUGUGUCAGGCAGCAGGGACUUUGCUACGCAUACAUUGCCAUUACUAAGAGGGUGGUGAAUACUCGCUACUAGGUGGGACAAAACAAGUUUAUCAAAAUCGGGAAAGUUGAAGCAAUUCGGUUCGGAAAAAUUAUGAAAAUUCAUAGAAAACCCCUGAGUAAACUCAAAAGUUUGUGAUUUGCCGCAAGUGUCUUCGUCCCGUGUUCCAAAUUCCUUAAGUUACUUAGCGCACAGGCUAAUGGAUGCACUACUUUAACUCAUUUCGAAUUCAUCCAAAUCCACCCACUAGCAGGAAACAUCCUCGGCAAAAUCAGAGACUAGUGAAACCAUUCGGACAGACUCUCAGUGCAAUCGAAAUUCGGAACCUAUAUCGUGAGCAGUUUUGUUGUAUCUUUUACGGUUUUGUUGCUCGUUCCCAGGGAGCCACCCCAAUCGAAAUCUAGUUCAAAAGUUAACCUUAUCAUCGGCAAAGUUGGUUGUAAAAUCACAUUACUAGUGGUGGUGCUAAUAUUGUUGCAAAAUACUAAGUGUUGAGCAAAGUUUUUGCUGAAAAGGUGCUAAUUCUUCCAAUUUACACAAAUUAAAAGAGCAAAAAAGUUGCAAGAUAUCCGCGACGCGCGUGAUUGAUUCGUAGUUUGUGACACCCUCCCUCGUGUUUUCGUUUCGUCGUUUUUUCUCGCUGCAUUUCGGUGCCUCUAGAGUUACUCCCCCACGUUCACCCCCAGGAAUUUUUAUGAGAAAAUGAGUGACAGGGAGCGAUCGUCCCCAACACUGAUCGAAUCUGGAUUAAAAAAUCUCAUUGGCGGACGAGAUAGCAAUUAUCCGCUAAUCAGUGGCAUUAAUGAACUUAUGACAAUAUUGUACAACACACAAUACCAUCUGGAUAAAUAGAGCAACCAAAAGUUCAUACCUUAGAUCGUUUCCACAUUUCGGAUUUACGGUGUCCAAGGUUGUGUCGCGCAUUUAUUAAAAUAUUUAGUGAAGAGUAUUGCCUCGUGUAGCUGACCUUGGGAGUUUUUUAUUAGGCAAUAUAUACGACAGUUUCGCGUGCUUGCUACCUUUAGGGUAAUACCCGUGGUUAUCUAGUGGGUUCCAUAGAAAUUCAGACAAGCCCAGCGAUUUUUUUGAUACUCAUAAUGAAGAGUUCAGUGUUUGUUAAUAGGAACGUAAGAUUGGAACAUUAGCACAAUUCUUAUUUGUAGAAAAAGUAGUUUUGAUAGGCAAUAAUCUACUAGCUAAACUAAACCGUUAGAUAAGAUUAUAAAAUCAGCGAACAAGUCUAUAAAGUUACAUUACUAAUUUUUAAAGUUUUAUGCAAAGCAAACACACGAUUUAUCCGGAAGCGGUUAGAGUUAUUGUCACGUAAUUUGGUAACAAAUUUGAAAUGAUAUGCGUAUUUGUAUGAGAUCAUUUUGCUCUGGUUUUGAGAGGGUCUGCUCUACAAAACUUGGAAAGUUUUACUAAACGCUUUUUUUGUAACAUUGAUUAGAAACUACUAGAAACGUGCAUAUUUUAAAGUUUAUUCAAGUUAUUACAGUUCGUGUAUAGCGCCAGAGCAAUUAU
rnacentral:lncRNA from 1 species